UACGUAGGUGGCAAGCGUUAUCCGGAAUACUGGGCGUAAAGCGCACGCAGGCGGUCUUUUAAGUUUGACGUGAAAGCUCCCGGCUUAACUGGGAGAGGUCGUUGAAGACUGGAAGACUUGAGGCAAUGAGAGGGGUGUAGAAUUCCCGGUGUAGUGGUGGAAUGCGUAGAUAUCGGGGGGGAAUACCAGUGGCGAAAGCGGCACCCUAGCGUUAGCCUGACGCUCAUGUGCGAAAGCGUGGGGAGCGAACGGG
rnacentral:rRNA from 1 species